AUUGAACGCUGGCGGCAGGCCUAACACAUGCAAGUCGAGCGGUAGAGAGAAGCUUGCUUCUCUUGAGAGCGGCGGACGGGUGAGUAAUGCCUAGGAAUCUGCCUGAUAGUGGGGGAUAACGUCCGGAAACGGACGCUAAUACCGCAUACGUCCUACGGGAGAAAGUGGGGGCUCUUCGGACCUCACGCUAUCAGAUGAGCCUAGGUCGGAUUAGCUAGUUGGUGGGGUAAAGGCUCACCAAGGCGACGAUCCGUAACUGGUCUGAGAGGAUGAGCAGUCACACUGGAACUGAGACACGGUCCAGACUCCUACGGGAGGCAGCAGUGGGGAAUAUUGGACAAUGGGCGAAAGCCUGAUCCAGCCAUGCCGCGUGUGUGAAGAAGGUCUUCGGAUUGUAAGGCACUUUAAGUUGGGAGGAAGGGUCGUUACCUAAUACGUGGCGAUUUUGACGUUACCGACAGAAUAAGCACCGGCUAACUCUGUGCCAGCCGCCGCCGUAACAC
rnacentral:rRNA from 1 species